rnacentral:lncRNA from 1 species
GGGAAAUCGUUAGAAAGCUUUAAGCAGAAGGAUAAUUUUAUCUGGCAUAUAUCUUUUAAAGGUCGCCCAGGUGGUUUUGUGAAGAGGGAUGGAGAAAUUGAACUACCGGUGGACUAGGUUUCCAUGCAUAGCUUAUCAGUGGUGGAGGCAGAAAUUAAGUCCAGUUCAGCGUCUCCUGCGCUGGGGAGCAGAACCACAGAGCCACUACAGCACAGCCAGUGAUUUCUUCCAUCUCCAGCUCGGCCUGCUGCCUGCAAGCUCACGACCUUUGGUGUCAUUCAGACCAGAGGAAAGAGGAAUGAACUGUGAUUCCAGAGCCCAGCAUUGAGUAUUGGCUCUGACACUGGAAACCAAAAGGAAGGAAAAUAAUUACUGAGCACUUUUAUGUGGCAAGAACUAUGCCGGAUGAAGAAACAAGCUGAGGCUGGAGAAAUGACUUCUUUGAGUUUGGGAAUCAAUCUCCCUGAUUCUGUUAUCCUCGAUUGCCUAUCCUUAUUGUGUGUCCUAGUGCCAGUCUUUUAACCUCUCUGGGCUGGGGUUUUUUCAUUUAUUAAAUGGGACAUGAAAAAGCUGAUUUCUGUAGUCUUAUCUAGCUCUAAUAUUCUAGAUUCUAAAUGCAUUUAAAUGUGUUUAAUUUUUGUUUCCUAAGCUAGAGUUUUGAAUCAUACAGUAACUGAAAUGCUUUAGCCAGAGUACGAUUUCCACCCUUUCCUGGCAAGAGAGGAUAAUGACCCUGCAUUUGGAGGCUCUGGCACAAAGGGAUUUGUCACCCUGACACCAGAAGUGAAAG